AUUAGAAAUUGUGUCCCGGUUUGGUUACAGCAGAACCGUAGAAAAAUAUAUUCGAUGGCUGCAAAAUACAGAAAUAGAGGAAAUAACGAUUGUCGUUCACACACACAGCCCACGUGCUGCGCAUACAGAGUCGAGAACAGGAAUGGAGAUCAUUCUCAAAUUCAGCUUUCUCUGGACAUAGUAGAAAUCUUUUCUUGAGGCUAGCAACUGGCAUUCUAGCUAUGAAAUAUUAUCAGGUUUGAGGUAAAGGUGAUCCUCGUGGAUGAAAGAAGAGAAAAUAAUUAAGGCAAAGGAAAGAGAGAGAGAAUAUAAAAUAGGGAAUAUGUGGAAUAUCAUAGUCUGUGCUCUGACAUCUGACAGAAAAAUUGAUGGACAGUUUUACGGGAACACUGUAUUUCUCCCAUGUAAUUUAUGACUGUCAGAUGGAACGUGAAACUCACAGACACGUUCAAUUUUUUCAGCUAUUAUAUUGAAAGGUGGUAUUGAUUUUACUGGCUAUUUAACUGGCUCUCACUCUGCAUGACUGACUUGCUAACAGCUUAAAUUACCAGCUGUUCAUCUAUCAGCCUCUUGGAUUUAGAGACAGACCUACAGAACAGUUGGUGAAUAAAAUGACUAAAUUAGUGACUAAAAGCACUUUUGAGCGCCGUCCUGACUGAUUGACUGACUGUCUGUUUGAUCUAGUGACUGUAUUGUAUUUCCUCAGAUGGUUAAACUGACAGUUUGUCUGAGUUGCUCCGACUGACUUACUGAGGUGUUUUGACGUAGUGUCAGACUUUCUGCUCGGUCAACAGACAAACAAACUGUUUUGCUGAGGUACGCUGUAAACUGAUUGGUUAAAUGGCAGAAACACUUUAAAACUAACUGGCUGACUGACUGACUGGCUCACUGUGUGACUGGCUUACUGACUGAUUUAAUGACUGACUGAUUGACUGGUCUGUUGUCUCAGUGGCUGGGCGUUCGGACCAUGGAUCCACAAAUGUACCCGCUAGGUGACGCUAGGAGGUACUAGGGCGACGCUAUGCACUAAAGUUAUGGACAUUAUCCGUGAAUUGAAAUAAGCUCGGAGCAGUAGUUUGGGAAUCAGUGCCGCUAUUUCAUUUCGAUUUCCAAGUGCAGUGAAUUUGAGCUUUGAGACUUACAAUACUUCCUCGCCCUGCUAUAGUAUAGUGCGUUGAAACAUUGAGGGGCACAGAUCGUAAGAAACUCGUGUGUGCUGGUGUCUUUCAGGUAAAUAGGGGAUUGCUUGAAGAGACUAACUGUACCUCAUUGUAAUUUGUGUAAGGGUGAAUUGAAAGUCGCAUGCUGAUCUCCUUAUCAUUCAUCAAUAGAUUUUGGAAGGAGCGUAGGGAAAGGAAAUGGGCUCAAGAUCACUUUAGCUCUUGAGCAGGCGUCUAAAGAAAAUGAGGAGGGCCGAACGAUAACGCAAAGACCUCAAGUUUAAAAGGGCGCUCAGGGGAGAAGAGAAUGUUUCCUUCAGAUUCUAAGAGAAGGGAAGGAGAAAACGAAAGGUCCAAGAAAGUACCGGCGUGGAAAGGAAGGGGAAGUUUGUUAACAUUCCAAACUAUCAAACUACAGUAGAUUUAAAGUGGUUUCAAUUUGAAAAUUUUUAUUGAUCUAUUGUGAGUUAGUUGUAUGUUGCAGAGUAAAGCUAUAUUAAAGAAGACUUCUGCCUUCU